GCUUGCCUGCCUUUCCAGGUGGGCAGGUUUCAGGCAGGCGUCAAACCGCGCCUGCCUACCAUGAAGCCAUAAGUACGUUGAAAAAACGUUAAUUAAAAAUAUAGACAUCAAAUUUGAAAAAUGAGCAAAAUUUGGCAGUGGUUUUGGAAA
ensembl:ncRNA R05C11.5 ncRNA